rnacentral:rRNA from 1 species
AUUGAUUUUAUGCUUGCAUAAAUGAUUUUUGGAUUCGGAGCGAGUGGCGAACUGGUGAGUAACACGUGGGUAACCUGCCCCGAAGCGGGGGAUAACAUUUGGAAACAAGUGCUAAUACCGCAUAAUUAGUUGGAACCGCAUGGUUCCAACUUGAAAGAUGGCUCUGCUAUCACUUUGGGAUGGACCCGCGCCGUAUUAGUUAGUUGGUGAGAUAAAAGCCCACCAAGACGAUGAUACGUAGCCGACCUGAGAGGGUAAUCGGCCACAUUGGGACUGAGACACGGCCCAGACUCCUACGGGAGGCAGCAGUAGGGAAUCUUCCACAAUGGACGAAAGUCUGAUGGAGCAACGCCGCGUGAGUGAUGAAGGUUUUCGGAUCGUAAAACUCUGUUGUUAAAGAAGAACAAGUGUCAGAGUAACUGUUAACACUUUGACGGUAUUUAACCAGAAAGCCACGGCUAACUACGUGCCAGCAGCCGCGGUAAUACGUAGGUGGCAAGCGUUGUCCGGAUUUAUUGGGCGUAAAGCGAGCGCAGGCGGUUUUGUAAGUCUGCUGUGAAAGCCCUCAGCUCAACUGAGGAAGUGCAGUGGAAACUACAAAACUUGAGUACAGAAGAGGAAAGUGGAACUCCAUGUGUAGCGGUGAAAUGCGUAGAUAUAUGGAAGAACACCAGUGGCGAAGGCGGCUUUCUGGUCUGUUACUGACGCUGAGGCUCGAAAGCAUGGGUAGCGAACAGGAUUAGAUACCCUGGUAGUCCAUGCCGUAAACGAUGAAUACUAGGUGUUGGAGGGUUUCCGCCCUUCAGUGCCGCAGCUAACGCAUUAAGUAUUCCGCCUGGGGAGUACGACCGCAAGGUUGAAACUCAAAGGAAUUGACGGGGGCCCGCACAAGUGGUGGAGCAUGUGGUUUAAUUCGAUGCUACGCGAAGAACCUUACCAGCUCUUGACAUCUUCUGCCAACCCAAGAGAUUGGGCGUUCCCUUCGGGGACAGAAUGACAGGUGGUGCAUGGUUGUCGUCAGCUCGUGUCGUGAGAUGUUGGGUUAAGUCCCGCAACGAGCGCAACCCUUAUUAUUAGUUGCCAGCAUUUAGUUGGGCACUCUAGUGAGACUGCCGGUGAUAAA